GAAAUGCAUGCAAGUGGACUGGAGGGACCCAUCCCACCAAAUAUAUCUCUUCUGAGUAAUUUACAAGAGUUGAGGAUUAGUGAUAUAGAUGGGCCAAAUCAGGAUUUUCCUAUGUUGAUAAACAUGUCUGGCCUAGUAAGAUUGGUUUUGAGAAACUGUAAGAUUUUUGGGGAGAUCCCUUCAUACAUCUGGACAACGAAGAAUCUGCA